GUCAGGGGGAGCUAUGACCUCGCGGCUAUGGCUGUCCACCUCCUCUGGCCGCAGAGGUGUGGCUAGACUUAAGAUGGGAUCCUCUGCCCUGAUGAAACAGAAUGAGGGAAACUGAGCUGGGAGGCAAAAGAGCUCCUCCACAGUGUCUCUGUGCAGCAGUAACACAGCUGCCUCCUCCUCUGACCGUUCAGCCUCCGGUUUCUUCAGGACUCGUCCUACCUUAAGUCAACGAAAACGACAAACCUGUAUUUUGGCCUUUUCUAAUGCCUUUCUCUCAGCCCGUGAAGAGACACCGGUUCCUGACUCCUCUGCCAUCCCGUUUUACAUCAGCUGAGAAGUGGCUUUCUAUUCAAAACAAGGCUCAUUGCACCAGCAACCAACGA